rnacentral:rRNA from 1 species
GACGAACGCUGGCGGCGUGCUUAACACAUGCAAGUCGAACGGAAAGGCCCUGCUUUUGUGGGAUCCUCGAGUGCCGAACGGGGGAGUAUCACGUGAGUAACCUCCCCUUUACUUUGGGGUAACUUCAGGAAACUCGGGUUAAUAUCGGACAGGAGCUCCUGCAGCAUAGGGGGGGUUGGAAAGUUUCGGCGGUUGGGGAUGGACGCGCGGCUUAUCAGCUUGUUGGUGGGGUAGUGGCUUACCAAGGCUUUGACGGGUAGCCGGCCUGGGAGGGUGACCGGCCACAAUGGGACUGAGGUAGGGCCCAGACUCCUACGGGAGGCAGCAGUGGGAAAUAUUGCACAAUGGGCGGAAGCCUGAUGCAGCAACGCCGCGUGCGGGAUGACGGCCUUCGGGUUGUAAACCGCUUUCGCCUGUGACGAAGCGUGAGUGACGGUAAUGGGUAAAGAAGCACCGGCUAACUACGUG